rnacentral:rRNA from 1 species
UACGUAGGUGGCAAGCGUUGUCCGGAUUUACUGGGCGUAAAGAGCGCGCAGGCGGUCGUUCAAGUCGCGUGUGAAAGCCCCCCGGCUCAACUGGGGAGGGUCACGCGAUACUGCUCGACUCGAAGGCAGGAGAGGGAAGUGGAAUUCCCGGUGUAGUGGUGAAAUGCGUAGAUAUCGGGAGGAACACCAGUGGCGAAGGCGACUUCCUGGCCUGUUCUUGACGCUGAGGCGCGAAAGCUAGGGUAGCAAACGGG